rnacentral:rRNA from 1 species
UACGUAGGCAGCAAGCGUUGUUCGGAAUUACUGGGCGUAAAGAGUGUGUAGGCGGUUCUCUAAGUUCGGUGUGAAAUCUCCCGGCUCAACUGGGAGGGUGCGCCGGAAACUGGAGUGCUGGAGCGCGGGAGAGGAAAGCGGAAUUCCUGGUGUAGCGGUGAAAUGCGUAGAUAUCGGAAGGAACAUCAGUGGCGAAAGCGACUUCCUGGACCAAUACUGACGCUCAUGUGCGAAAGCGUGGGGAGCAAACAGG